rnacentral:rRNA from 1 species
AGGCAUCUUCUUAUUUUUAAAAGACCUAGCAAUAGGUAUGCUUAGGGAAGAGCUUGCGUCACAUUAGUUAGUUGGUGGGGUAAUGGCCUACCAAGACGAUGAUGUGUAGCCGGGCUGAGAGGUCGAACGGCCACAUUGGGACUGAGACACGGCCCAAACUCCUACGGGAGGCAGCAGUAAGGAAUUUUCGGCAAUGGAGGAAACUCUGACCGAGCAAUGCCGCGUGAACGAUGAAGUAUUUCGGUACGUAAAGUUCUUUUAUUAGGGAAGAAAAGAUGGUGGAAAAACCAUUAUGACGGUACCUAAUGAAUAAGCCCCGGCUAACUAUGUGCCAGCAGCCGCGGUAAUACAUAGGGGGCAAGCGUUAUCCGGAAUUAUUGGGCGUAAAGGGUGCGUAGGCGGUUAAAUAAGUUUAUGGUCUAAGUGCAACGCUCAACGUUGUGAUGCUAUAAAAACUGUUUAGCUAGAGUUGGAUAGAGGCAAGUGGAAUUCCGUGUGUAGUGGUAAAAUGCGUAAAUAUACGGAGGAACACCAGAAGCGAAGGCGGCUUGCUGGGUCUUAACUGACGCUGAGGCACGAAAGCGUGGGGAGCAAACAGGAUUAGAUACCCUGGUAGUCCACGCCCUAAACGAUGAGUACUAAACGUUGGAUAAAACCAGUGUUGAAGUUAACACAUUAAGUACUCCGCCUGAGUAGUACGUACGCAAGUAUGAAACUUAAAGGAAUUGACGGGACUCCGCACAAGCGGUGGAUCAUGUUGUUUAAUUCGAAGGUACCCGAAAAACCUCACCAGGUCUUGACAUGCUUUUGCAAAGCUGUAGAAAUACAGUGGAGGUUAUCAAAAGCACAGGUGGUGCAUGGUUGUCGUCAGCUCGUGUCGUGAGAUGUUGGGUUAAGUCCCGCAACGAGCGCAACCCUUGUUGUUAAUUGCCAUCAUUAAGUUGGGGACUUUAGCAAGACUGCCAAUGAUAAAUUGGAGGAAGGUGGGGACGACGUCAAAUCAUCAUGCCCCUUAUGACCUGGGCUACAAACGUGAUACAAUGGCUGUUACAAAGGGUAGCUAAAGCGUAAGCUUCUGGCGAAUCUCAAAAAAGCAGUCUCAGUUCGGAUUGAAGUCUGCAACUCGACUUCAUGAAGUUGGAAUCGCUAGUAAU